UACGUAGGGGGCUAGCGUUGUCCGGAAUCAUUGGGCGUAAAGCGCGUGUAGGCGGUCCGGUAAGUCCGCUGUGAAAGUCGGGGGCUCAACCCUCGAAUGCCGGUGGAUACUGUCGGGCUAGAGUGCGGAAGAGGCGAGUGGAAUUCCUGGUGUAACGGUGAAAUGCGCAGAUAUCAGGAGGAACACCAAUUGCGAAGGCAGCUCGCUGGGAAGUUACUGACGCUGAGACGCGAAAGCGUGGGGAGCAAACAGG
rnacentral:rRNA from 1 species